UGGAUCUUAGUGGCGAACGGGUGAGUAACGCGUAGGCAAUCUGCCUUCUAGAUGGGGACAACAUCCCGAAAGGGGUGCUAAUACCGAAUGUUGUAGUUGGUUCGCAUGGACUAGCUACUAAAGGUGGCCUCUGAAUAUGCUACCGCUAGAAGAUGAGCCUGCGUCUGAUUAGCUAGUUGGAGGGGUAACGGCCCACCAAGGCUUCGAUCAGUAGCCGGUCUGAGAGGAUGAACGGCCACACUGGGACUGAGACACGGCCCAGACUCCUACGGGAGGCAGCAGUGGGGAAUCUUCCGCAAUGGACGAAAGUCUGACGGAGCAACGCCGCGUGAGUGAAGAAGGUUUUCGGAUCGUAAAGCUCUUUCGUUAGGGACGAACGUGCUCUUUGUGAAUAAUGAGGAGUAAUGACGGUACCUAAAUAAGAAGCCACGGCUAACUACGUGCCAGCAGCCGCGGUAAUACGUAGGUGGCAAGCGUUGUCCGGAAUUAUUGGGCGUAAAGCGCGCGCA
rnacentral:rRNA from 1 species